rnacentral:rRNA from 1 species
AACGUAGGUGGCGAGCGUUAUCCGGAUUUACUGGGCGUAAAGGGUGUGCAGGCGGGCUGUUAAGUGGUGUAUGAAAUAUCCCGGCUCAACCGGGAAGGGUUAUGCCAGACUGGCAGUCUAGAGAGCGAGAGAGGGACGUGGAAUUCCGGGUGUAGUGGUGAAAUGCGUAGAGAUCGGGAGGAACACCGGUGGCGAAGGCGGGUCUCUGGGCAUCUCCUGACGCUGAGGCGCGAAAGCGUGGGGAGCAAACGGG